AUGGCGUGUGCAGCUUCUUAUGCGGUCGCCAACCGUUCCACUAGUGGCUCGCUAUCUAAAGAUAGAUAAUAAUAAUAACACGAGCAAAAUGAAAAACCGACGUCUUUUCCACUUUCACGUCGCACAGCUGUACGUUCACAAAAUGAAACAGCAUGGACAUUGUUAUUAAAUCCAGUCCAUAAAGCCAGAAGCAUCGACAGAUUUGACUACGAUUUCUAGCCGAUAGAGAAAUCGACCUGAGAAGGAAAGGUGUCGACCGAAUUACAAUCUGCUACUUGGCAUCUUGUUGGCGCUCUUAACAAACGACUUGUAUUUCUCGCUCCAGUACGAAAAUAUUGGCGCAGUCAUUCUACAACGCACCGACUCAUUUUUCCAAGGCUGGAUCGAACCUCGACGAGGAAAAAAUAUUAAAAUAAAAAAGUUUGUCACGAGCAUGUGGUUAUCAUCAGUUGCACGGAAAACGAAGUGCGGAAAUCAUUCAGUGUCUAAACUGUUUUCUUUAAAAUAUACUUCCCGCCAAAGGGAAGAAGAAAACGAUGUUUUGCGGUGUUGAACGGACCCCGUUAUGUCAUCUUAUUCAUUGCCAUUUUAACAAAUGCUAAACGGCUCUAAAACGCGUUAAAGCAGUUUGUUAAAACAGAAGCAGGUGAUGGACGUAACCUCGUUCUGUAAUUAGCUAAUUAUCAGACAAGGAAGGGCCGAGACAACAAUCUGCAGCCGAGAUUAUCGAGAACGCUCGUCAUGCAAAAACAGGUGACAUUUUUUUUUUUUUGUCUUUGAAGCUCGUGAUUUUUUUUUUUUAUUCAGAUUGUAUGGCAGUUGAUGUGGUAAUCAACUUGUCACCUUGAUCUUUUUUUUCUCUUUCAAAUGGAAAGAAGGAAGGGAAAACAGUUUUAAUUAGUUCCCAUAAUAUUGAACCCAUUUUGCGUGCCAUAGUAUUCCAUGACAGAAGACAGUUAGCCGACUGCGUUUAUUGUUUCGUUGUUGGGGAGUAUUCAUACCAUAUUAGGGCAACCGCAAAAUGAGGAAAUCGUGUACAGUAGAUAAACGGAUGAUAACUGAAAUGCAAUUCUUUCGCUAUGUAUAUGCUGAACAUCAAUAGGAGGAGGUUCAUUGAGGGUGCAUUUACCGUACUAAUAAUGUCAAUUCUUUCAUCCGUGUUGUACUAAAAAAUAGAAUUGCAAUUGAAAUAAUUGAUUUUUUACACACA